CCUACUAUUACUAGUGAAAAUAUAAAGCGUGCUUUCAGCUUAAGAACGUAUGUUCUCUGCUGGGAGGAUGCUCUGGGUGACUGCAUUAUUUAUAGAAAGCAACAGUAAUUUCUUUCUGAAUGACUUGCAAGAAUUAAUUUAUUGACAGGGGACAACAGCUCAUUACACUGUUAAUGUUCCUGUAAUUCAGAAAAAGCAGCACUACUGCACAUAUUAAUGCCCUUCCUCAGCAGGAUGUUACAGCUGUGCAAAUAAAAAUAUUUUUCUCAAAAGUUACAGUAGCUCAUAGUAUUGGAUGAAGUUCUUCUUGUGACCAAUUAUUUCCAAAUUUGCAAGGUAAUACAAAUAUUUCCUUAGUGACCAUUCUGGGUGUUUUUCUGUGUAGGACUCAAGAGAUGGAAUCGCAUCAGAUUUGGAUGACUAAUUUAGUUUUACAUCACAUGACUUAGAAAUUCAGUAAACUACCGGAUAUUUCUGUUCCACAAACAUCUGAAAGGCUACAUUAUUUGUUGUAAUUCAAAGCAAGGAGUAGUAAUAAAUCAAAUCCAUCAAACUUGUUCGGUGCUUGUUGUGGCCACAGUGUCUGCCAAAGCUACAAGGAACAUCUGCUCUAGACGAGUGAGGCCUGGCAGACUUGAGUGCAUCAGGUGGCUUGAAAGGACGCUGGCGUGUUCUCGGCCAAAGAAGAUCCAGUGGUUGGCUGUACACAAGUCUGGAGCUCAGAAUGAGUUUACUAGCAGUCUGAAGAUUAGCAAUUGAUGAAGAUCGUGGAAUGGGACUCACGCCAGGUGAUAAAUCUGGAGAAGAAUCUACAGUCUUCUGCUCAGUACCUCUACCCCUCUACAAGGGAGGCUGCUGGGACUGAAAACAUUUCCUGCAGACAAAGAAAAUGUGUCUUCCAGACAUCAAUGGCAAAAUUUUCACAUUCCUGAAUAUCUUCUUUUUCCAGAGAACUAUGGAAUGGCAUCUUCCUCCAUACAGGGUUGAUGCUUGCUGCUAUGUGGAAGUGACCGAGUGCAUUUGCGUGAUGUGAAAUGUGACGCUGAACUUCAUGAGUACCCUGCUGAUCUGGCAACACAUCUGUAUUGAGAAAUGGUGCUGCUAAUGCUGGAAGUGCUAGUUUCACAUAUCUGCUCACCCAGAAGAGUAUCUUCUGGUAACAGUGUCUCUGCCCACAGUCGACAGAUGCCAUCAAGACAUGAUCUGUUGCAAAGUAUUCACCAUCAGGAGACCAGGCCAUCAAAUGUACUGAUACUGCAGUCCUAAAGAACACAAGAGUAAAGUUUU